rnacentral:rRNA from 1 species
AGGGCACCACCAGGAGUGGAGCCUGCGGCUUAAUUUGACUCAACACGGGGAAACUCACCCGGCCCGGACACCGUAAGGAUUGACAGAUUGAUAGCUUUUUCAUGAUUCGGUGGAUGGUGGUGCAUGGCCGUUCUUAGUUCGUGGAGCGAUUUGUCUGGUUUAUUCCGAUAACGAGCGAGACUCUAGCCUACUAAAGAGUUCGCACAUUGUCUCUGUGUGUGUGACUUCUUAGAGGGAUUUUCGGUGUUCAGCCGCACGAAAUUGAGCAAUAACAGGUCUGUGAUGCCCUUAGAUGUCCGGGGCUGCACGCGCGCUACACUGGCAAAAUCAGCGUGCUUGUCCUUCCCCGAAAGGGGUUGGUAAACCCUUGAAAAUUUGCCGUGAUUGGGAUUGGAAAUUGCAAUUAUUUUCCAUGAACGAGGAAUUCCAAGUAAGUGCGAGUCAUCAGCUCGCGUUGAUUACGUCCCUGCCCUUUGUACACACCGCCCGUCGCUGCCCGGGACUGAGCCAUUUCGAGAA